rnacentral:lncRNA from 1 species
CGGCCGCAUAGCAAACAGCGGAGAAGACCCGAGUAGCCCCCCAAGCUCUGGUGCCCGGGGGAGUGGAGACGGCGCCGAAAGAGCCAAGGGCAAUGCCAGUAUGCCAGUAUGCCGGACGGUCCUGGCUGCUCUGGACUCCCCCAGGUUGUGAAGGCAGAGAAUAGGGCGGCCCGAUGGUGGAGAGAGCGGCCAUUGUGGAGAAGCUACCAAGUGGUCCGGAGCAGGAGGAGGAAGGCGAGGAAAGCCUGCGGUUUGACCUCAUGGUGCCUUUCCUGACCUUCGUGGAUGCAGAGACCUCGUGGUACCGGACCCGGGAUGAGGAGUCCCUGGAAGGAGCAGUUCACGGGUAGCUCGGAGUGGCUGGCAGGGACCUGGUGAUUCGAGUAACUGAGUAACUUCGAAAACUCCAGCCUCCUCCACAGCUCCGUCUCCUCCCUGCUCUGCCAGUCGG